UACGUAGGGGGCAAGCGUUGUCCGGAUUUAUUGGGCGUAAAGAGCGUGUAGGCGGCUAGGUAGGUCCGUUGUGAAAACUCGAGGCUCAACCUCGAGACGCCGGUGGAAACCAUCUAGCUAGAGUCCGGAAGAGGAGAGUGGAAUUCCUGGUGUAGCGGUGAAAUGCGCAGAUAUCAGGAGGAACACCCGUGGCGAAAGCGGCUCUCUGGGACGGUACUGACGCUGAGACGCGAAAGCGUGGGGAGCAAAAGGG
rnacentral:rRNA from 1 species